ACACGGUCCAGACUCCUACGGGAGGCAGCAGUGGGGAAUAUUGGACAAUGGGCGAAAGCCUGAUCCAGCCAUGCCGCGUGUGUGAAGAAGGUCUUCGGAUUGUAAAGCACUUUAAGUUGGGAGGAAGGGUUGUAGAUUAAUACUCUGCAAUCUUGACGUUACCGACAGAAUAAGCACCGGCUAACUCUGUGCCAGCAGCCGCGGUAAUACAGAGGGUGCAAGCGUUAAUCGGAAUUACUGGGCGUAAAGCGCGCGUAGGUGGUUUGUUAAGUUGGAUGUGAAAGCCCCGGGCUCAACCUGGGAACUGCAUUCAAAACUGACAAGCUAGAGUAUGGUAGAGGGUGGUGGAAUUUCCUGUGUAGCGGUGAAAUGCGUAGAUAUAGGAAGGAACACCAGUGGCGAAGGCGACCACCUGGACUGAUACUGACACUGANGUGCGAAAGCGUGGGGAGCAAACAGGAUUAGAUACCCUGGUAGUCCACGCCGUAAACGAUGUC
rnacentral:rRNA from 1 species